AAAGUCCGUAACAAGGUUUCCGUAGGUGAACCUGCGGAAGGAUCAUUACCGAGUGAGGGCCCUCUGGGUCCAACCUCCCACCCGUGUUUAUCGUACCUUGUUGCUUCGGCGGGCCCGCCUCACGGCCGCCGGGGGGCAUCCGCCCCCGGGCCCGCGCCCGCCGAAGACACCAAUGAACUCUUGUCUGAAGAUUGCAGUCUGAGCAGAUUAGCUAAAUCAGUUAAAACUUUCAACAACGGAUCUCUUGGUUCCGGCAUCGAUGAAGAACGCAGCGAAAUGCGAUAAGUAAUGUGAAUUGCAGAAUUCAGUGAAUCAUCGAGUCUUUGAACGCACAUUGCGCCCCCUGGUAUUCCGGGGGGCAUGCCUGUCCGAGCGUCAUUGCUGCCCUCAAGCACGGCUUGUGUGUUGGGCUUCGCCCCCCGGCUCCCGGGGGGCGGGCCCGAAAGGCAGCGGCGGCACCGCGUCCGGUCCUCGAGCGUAUGGGGCUUUGUCACCCGCUCUGUAGGCCCGGCCGGCGCCCGCCGGCGACCCCAAAUCAAUCUAUCCAGGUUGACCUCGGAUCAGGUAGGGAUACCCGCUGAACUUAANCAUAUCAAUAA
rnacentral:rRNA from 1 species